CCUACGGGGGGCUGCAGUGAGGAAUAUUGGUCAAUGGGCUUACGCCUGAACCAGCCAAGUCGCGUGAGGGAAGACUGCCCUAUGGGUUGUAAACCUCUUUUGUCAGGGAGCAACGCCGGCUACGUGUAGCCGGACGGAGAGGACCUGAAGAAAAAGCAACGGCCAACUCCGUGCCAGCAGCCGCGGUAAUACGGAGGAUGCGAGCGUUAUCCUGAGUGAGUGGGUUGAAAGGGUGCGUAGGCGGAAGGCCAAGUCAGCGGUAAAAUCGCGGGGCUCAACCUCGCUCCGCCGUUGAAACUGGCGUUCUUGAUUGGGCGCGACGUAUGCGGACUGCGUGGUGUCGCGGU
rnacentral:rRNA from 1 species